rnacentral:rRNA from 1 species
CCUACGGGAGGCAGCAGUGAGGAAUAUUGGACAAUGGGCGGGAGCCUGAACCAGCCAAGCCGCGUGAGGGAAGAAGGUACAGCGUAUCUUAAACCCCUUUUGUCAGGGAGAAAAGGCGGGGACUAGUCCCCGUAUGAGUGUACCUGAAGAAACAGCAUCGACUCACUACGUGACAGCCGCCGCGGUAAUACGGAGGAUGCGAGCGUUAUCCGGAUGUAUUGGGGGGAAGGGGUGAGCAGGCAGGCUUGUAAGUUAGAGGUGAAAGGCCGGGGCUGAACCCAGGCGGAGCAUUGGAAACGGGCGGGCUGGAGUGGGAGAGAGGUAAGAGGAA